ACAGAGAGAGAAUGCAGAAGUUAAACUGAUUCCGGUUUGUGUUAGAACAAUAUUCCCAUCCUAAAAAUCUCUCCUGGUAAAAAAAUUUAUGUGUGUAUUUUAGCCAUGUGACGCUCCUUUCACACUGCAGAAUUUUCCAUCAAGUUUUCAUUGUGUGACUGCCUGUCAGGCAGUAAGGUUCAGGCCCUUGGCACACGGGGCAGGGUAUGUCACUGUCACUUGUCUUAAUGCAGGUUCCAGCUUCAAACAUGCAGUUAGUGCCUGGGAGCAGAGGCCCUAUCAUCCUGCCUUAAAAGGUUUGAAGACACAGUGCAUAGCAAAUAAUAAUAAUAAUAAAUAAAUAAAUAAAUAAAUAAGAAGGAAAGCCAGGCUUCAAGGAAUCCCAAUGCUUGAUCUGCUCUUGCCAUUGCAAGUGGCUUUUGGAGGGCAUUUAGAUCACUCCCUGCAAACAAGUAGGUACAUUCUUAGGACCUGGACCCCUAUGAGCACAUUCACUGUGCUAGCUGUCACAAAGAGCUAGGGCACAGGCAUACAUUUAUGUCCAAUUCUGUUCAUGUGCUAGAGACUUAGGAGAUGCUGCAAAUACGCUGGUAAAAGCGCAUGCACCAUUCUCACUGUAUGUCUGCUAGCUCCCCACAGCACGUAGCACCUGGUGGGCAUACCAGUUUUAGUGGUUUGGAGUGACAUCCCAGUGCAGCCCAACGGUGUCCAGAGAAUGUUGGGUGAGGGAAAAUGUUUUAUCACCCCGCCACAUCUAGAGCUAUAGUUUGUCAUGCGUUUGAGGAAACAUAAUCACUGGAAAAAGUGGUUCCCACCCUGCUUUUCCCACCUUCUUGCUGUUAUCAUCUGCUAAGAAACCUUUUCCAGUGGCUGUGCCAGUUUAAAAGCAUGUAGAAUGAAUUCUCUGCUAGCCUGCAGUGAGCAGCUUGUGACCACCAAGCUCCUGCACCAGGGCUGUGUGGAGCACCCGGGGUGCUCACAGCCCAAAGGGGAUGCUACAGGAGCAAGCAUCUUCUCUACAGAUUGUGGGCCCAUGUGGUUGGUUUGUAGUGUGCUAUCUUUAUGUCUCAUCUCACUCAGUCAGUCUUUAUUCAGUCUAUCCUUUUAUUAAAUUAUAACUGCCUCAAGCAACUUCAGACUUUCAAUGCCAGUGAAAAUUUCAGUGCAUGCCUAAAAACUGUAUUUCAGUAACUAUGGUUUGUAUGGAACUCAGAUACAAAGAUUUGCUGCCCUUAAAAAAGCUCCCAGUUGCUGGAGUCAAUUUGUCUCUGCUGUCGCUGAUCAGUAUUUGAGCCACCAUCGUGCAAUAUGUAACGGAGGAAAAUGCUUAGAAGGAAACAGUGGGAGAUCAAUUGCAAUGGAAACCAUGUGUGUUGGAGGAAUAAUAUUUACCUAAAUGUGUCUAUCACUUCUUCCCAAAGGAUGCUGCCAUUAGGAGAGAAUGGAUAUGAAAAUGUUGCCUCCAUAGAUAAAAGUUAGGAAUAUCAUUAUUUUAAACACAAACUUUAAUAUUCUUAAUUAAUUCCAUGUUGUAAAAACAGAGAUAAAGCCAUAUCCAGGAAGAAUAAUACCAUGUACUCCAAAGAUACAAACCGCAAUUUAAUAAAUAGCAACAGAUGCCGCAUGA